AGAAGGCGGAGGCGACUAGGGUGUUGGUGGAACCACACAUGCGCCCUCGGCUUCUGGCAGUCUUACCAGCUGCGUUCUCGAGGUUACGGGAAGGAAGGGCGAGUGUGCGCAUGCGUGGGCACUCCCUGCCACUGACUUCGGUUACCUUGGAGACAGCGAGGCGCUCUCCCUCGUGGGUCGCGCGCGUUCCGCUUCCUCUCUGCUGCCAAGCGGUGGCGGCUGAGGCGGGAGGUGGUGGGGGUAGAGACGUUUUUAUUGAGCUCUUACCGUGUGCCUGGUCCUGUAGAAUCCCUGGAAUGAGUAAAGAAGGUUACAGUGCCUGCCCUCGAGAAGCUUGGGGAGCCAAGGGCUUACAGGGGCCCGACCUGUGGGUUGAAACCCAGGUACAAAGAGAGCAUGUGGGUGCGUGGCGUGGUACGAGCGCUGAGCAAAGCAUCUGCUCUCUGGGUUUGCAGACCACAGAGCCAGCAAGAGGAUGAGAGCUUGAUGUAUGCAAAGAAAGGACCUGGAGUUCAGAAUAUGCAUUGAAGUGUCAACAGUGCUUCUUUCUGAAUGGGGGUCGGGGGUGGGGAGUAGGGAAGGUAUAGAAACUUUUUCUAACUUUUGCCCCUCUGUAUUAUCUAGUGUUUCCACACUGAGCUUGUA
rnacentral:lncRNA from 1 species